UGCGCAGGCGGAACUUUAAGUCAGUGGUGAAAUCUUGCCGCUUAACGGUAAAAUUGCCAUUGAUACUGAAGUUCUUGAAUAUGGUUGAGGUAGGCGGAAUGUGUUGUGUAGCGGUGAAAUGCAUAGAUAUGACACAGAACUCCGAUUGCGAAGGCAGCUUACUAAACCAUUAUUGACGCUGAGGCACGAAAGCGUGGGGAGCGAACAGGAUUAGAUACCCUGGUAGUC
rnacentral:rRNA from 1 species